GAUGUUAAUAAUGCAAAGAAGAUCAAAGCUUAUAUGGAGAAAGUCUACACGGGUACGUACGCUCCUCCUUUCUUAAACUUUUUUAAAUAAGCAUAAACUGAUUUUGUAAAGUUGUUUUCACUACAAUGUUUUUAAAAAAACUUUCAAACUUGGGGGAAAAUUUCUAUAUUAUUUGGUUGAUAAUGAAAACUUAAUGUGUAAUUUGUGAAAAGUAUUAGGAGUUACAUCCGGUCAGUGAGUUAGAGAUUGUAUAUAUCUAACAUCCGGUUAGUGAUUGUAUAUUUCUUUUGUGUUGGCACUUAUGAGCAUCUAGUUCUUCGUAAUCAAUCUCAUAAUUAAGCAAUUUUCCCUCUUGUUUUUUUUUCUAAAACCAACAUCACAUUUGCUUUCUUGUUUUGUGUUUCUUACGUGCUUUUAUUAUGUUUUUGUUUCCUUUGAUCCUUUUGCUUGUUUUAACUUUCUUCUUGUGUUUGUUGCUUUUAUUGGAUAAGAGACAAAUCUACUAGUGGAAAAGCGAAUGAAGUUAAUAAUAUAAAGAGGAUUAAAGCUUAUAUGGACAAGGUUGAGCUAGAGAGCAUUCAAACAUAUGUGUUGAUAGUCUGUGUUGGAUGAGCAUCUCUCAUCCCCUCUGCUUCCGAGACCAUCAACCAUCUUCUUUAGCAAGAUAUUGUCACUACUGCUGCUGAGCCUAAACUUCCUCCUACACAUCCUAUCAGAUUGGGUUUGGCCUUGAACUUCUCUGUCCUCUCUACUACGAGAUCAUGAGCUCACCUGAAAGGUUUUAGAGAUUGUUUAGUUACUAAAAAAACCUUAGAAGACUCAAUAUAUUAUCUGACCUUGCGGUGGGUGAAUAAAUAGUGAAGUGUAGAAUGUAGAGUUCCUCUGUAAAAGUAUCAUUAUUGUGUAUGUUGUACUCUGUCUGCUUUGACCGUUUGUGUGUUUUGCAUCAUCCUGAUGCAUGUCUCAGACACUGUUUUUCUUGUUUGUAAUUUGAAACUCAUUACUGUCUU